ensembl:lncRNA
GAGCCGUUCCCCUCCACGCCUGCGGUCUGACACGCACUGAAUCUUCAGCUAACAAGCUGUUUACACAUUAACGAGCCUGGAUUUACUCACACUCAUACACAUCCCUCGUUCACUUUCACACCGGAGCCAGCCAGUGGUGUCCAGAUGUUUCCUCUGUGGAAGUGAGCGAGCAGGCCUCUCCACGCUGCACCGCGGGGCAAAUAGCUCUGAUUUACUCUCUCCGGAUGUGGCAGGAGCGCCGUGAGGGAGGAAGUGCGAACCGACGAGCCUCUCGCCCGCCGUGCCGCCCGCUGAUAAGACCCAGCGUGGAAAAUUGUAAACAGACCGGACCUGGAAGCGGCACGUUCUCCCGGUUUAACGGAAACCUGCUUGGAAGAACUGCGUCCAGCUCAUGAGCACGUGCAGCGAAAAUUUCAUCGUUUUAACACCAUAAAUACCAUCUCUCUCCUUAAAACACUGGUUUUGACAUGACUGGCGCCCCUCGAUUAAUAUUACAUGAAGCCUACCCUGGAUAUAACACCGGCACCGACCCGCUUCCCGUCACGUCUGACAGCGUCAGAGACACGUGUAGAAGAUCUUUGGACGCGUGACAUCCCGAGAGGCAACUUUUAAGAAAAUAACAGCUCUUCUCCUCCAUGACGUUCUCCUUGACGAUCGGAUCAGCCGCUGACCGGUCGUAGCCAACGAGCCGGGUUUUGACGCAAUCAAAACAAAAACAUAUCUUACCGACAGCUGUGUGGCUCAGUGGUGAGCACAUCUGCCUCACGCCCCCGGGGGGAUGUGGGUUUGAAUCCCGUCUGCGUGCGUGGUGGAGUUUGCAUGUUCUCCUUGUGCUUCGGGGGUUUCCUCCAGGAGAAUUAUCUGGCUGCACUGGGCACUUGCUGAUUUCAGACUGAGAUGGGGCGGAGUGAAGGGGCAUUGAGGUGUGUCUACAAAAUGACUGACAGGAGGCCCGUCCAAACACAGACAAGCAUUCUGGACUUCCCAAACGUGCUGAGGCCGUGGCGUAAACCAUCAGUUUUUAUUAUGUUGACAUAUUUUCCAGAAGCCAUGUUUGUGAAGGCAACAUCUGCGUUCGCUCGCUGAUGAACAGACUAAAGGAUGGACGGAGAUUCUCUCUGAGUUUUACAACAGCAUCUUUUUUUCUGUGGAGAUGAAAGUGUGUAACAGAAAGCUUUGUCUGACAGGAAGAAAAGAAAAAAAAAACCCAAAACAAAACAAGACAAACACCUGAAAGCUGUUUCUUCGUUGGCUCUCGUCCAUACGACACUGCCAAGAAACACUCAAACACAGACCUUAAGAAAGAUGGAGGAUAAUAAACAGAUCCCCGGCAUGAUGGAACCCAGGUGGAGCUUUUUCCUCAGUCCUCAGCCCCGUCCCGGCUCCUGCUGAUGGUUAGCGCUGUCGGAUUCUGGAUUCUGAUUGGUCUGAAGUUACUAUAACAGCAGCACCGACAGUACUACAGCCGUUGUUCUUAUACCUUAUCGUUUCCAUAGCAACAGCUCAUCCUCAGGGACUAGUACAGCAGACGCCCCACGGGAUCGAACCCUGAUGAUAAAAAAUGGAUUUGAUCACGAUGUAUAUUUAGCAUUUUUGGAAGGAGUCUCCAGUGUCAGCGCUUUGUAAAGUUGAGGAGUGAAGCUGAUACUUUAGGUUUUCCGUCUUCAGGACGCUUUGCGGUUUCUAAGUAACCUGACAAGCUGUGUUUUUUUUUUGUUUGUUUUGUUUUUUUUUUGUGUGUGUGUUUUAAACUUCAAGAGAACAUAAAAUGUAACUACAAAUGGAUAAAAAAAAAACACGGCAUGGCAUUUAGUAAUAAAUUACAAGUUGUAAUUGUUGGUAAACUUCAGUGGUAUUAGAAGAAUA